rnacentral:pre_miRNA from 1 species
GUACCCUAAUGGAGCUCUGGCUGUGACUUGUGUGUUCAUGAAUUAAAAUCACAUCACAGGCAUAGAUCUAAUUAGGUAA